ensembl:snRNA U2 U2 spliceosomal RNA
AUCACUUCUCAGCCUUUUGGCUAAGAUCAAGUGUAGUAUAGCAAAACAAAUUCAUAGCUGAAUUUUCCAUGUUUACUCUGAUUCAGAUUUUUUCAGUUAUAAAGCAAUAAUUGAUUACCUAAU